UCCGGUAUGGUGUAACGGCUAACAUUGCCGCCUUUCAUCACUGAAUUUCGCGGCAGCUCGGGGUUCGAUUCCCCGUACCGGAA